GGUUAACUGGUCUAGGAACAGUGGGUUAACUGGCCUAGGAACAGUGGGUUAACUGGUCUAGGAACAGUGGGUUAACUGGCCUAGGAACAGUGGGUUAACUGGCCUAGGAACAGUGGGUUAACUGCCUGUUCAGGGGCAGAACGACAGAUUUGAACCUUGUCAGCUCUGGGAUUUGAACUUGCAACCUUUCAGUUACUAGUCCAACACUCUAACCAGUAGGCUACCCUUACCCAGAAAGACUCACAGCUGUAAUCGCUGCCAAAGGUGCUUCUACAAAGUAUUGACUCAGGGGUGUGAAUACUUAUGUAAAUGAGAUAUUUCUGUAUUUCAUUGUCUUUUUUAAAUCAUUUUUAAUAAUUCUCCCCAAUUUCAUGGUAUCCAAUUGGUAGUUACAGUCUGGUCUCAUUGCUGGUUGAGAGGCGAAGGUCGAGAGCCGUGCGAAACACGACCCAACAAAGCCACACUGCUUCUUGACACAACGCCCGCUUAACCCGGAAGCCAGCCACACCAAUGUGUCAUAGGAAACACUGUUCACCUGGAGACCGUGUCAGCAUGCAUGCGCCUGGCUCGCCACAAGAGUUGCUAGAGCGCGAUGGGACAAGGACAUCCCCUAACCCGGACGAUGUUGGGCCAAUUGUGCCCCAUGGGUCUCCCAGUCAUGGCCGGCUGCGACAGAGCCUGGACUCGAACCAGGAUCUCUAGUGGCACAGCUAGCACUGCAAUAAAGUGCCUUAAACCAUUCAGCCACUGCCCCACCCCGGAGGACCAGUAUUUCAUUUUCAAUACAUUUGCAACAAUUUCUAAAAACAUGUUUUCACUUUGUUAUUAUGGGGUAUUGUGUGCAGAUGAAUUCAGCCUGAAUUCAGGCUGUACCACAACAAAAUGUGGAAUAAGUCAAGGGGUGUCAAUACAUUCUAAAAGGUACAUGUUGUCAUGGGGAAGGUUGUAUGUACACAAUUACUUUUAUACAGCACAAUAAUGCCACCAUCAAAGAUCCAAAGUCACAUAUAGAAUUGUACAUAAAAGUAUAAAGUACAUAAACAUGUAAUUACAUGCAAUAACCUUUCUCCAUAACUGUCACUUUGAUCUAUAAUGUGUUGUUUAAAUACAGAUUAUGAAAGCCAUUCUGUAAAUACCCCAGAUUGGUUCUUUAAAGAUCAGGGGGGACAACAAGAGAUGAACCAGUAUGGUAUGCCUUAUAAUGUCGCUCACCUUGUUGUUUAAAGAUGAGGAAGCUUGUGGUAACCAUGGCAACAAAGGCCAGGCCUGCUAGCAAAGAAGCAAGGGCAGCCAGCAUGGACAUCCCUCCUUGAAAACACAACAGGAAUUCCCCUGAUUCACCUGCUUCAUAACUAGUUAAACAAGGGACUAAAGAAAGGGAACAAUCUGUGGAUGUUGUGGCGUGUAGGCCUGAGGGUGUUUGAGUUGUUAUGCCUUUUGUUACACCAAACACAAGCUUCACAUUCAUACAUGCAGUGUAUAGGCAUGUUAUUAUUACUCUUUAUUUUUAUUCGUUAUUCACUGUGUAUUUAUUCUAGAGGUGGUACCAAGUCACUAUUAUUUGAGUCACAAGCAGGUCUCAACUCACAAGGUCCAAGUCUUUAGUUGAGUCCCAAGUAGAACGGUUCGAGUCAAGUCCAAGUCGUGCAUUCAAAGAGCGAGUCGAGUCGAGUCAUAAGUUUUGCAAGUCAAGUCUCUAUGCAAGUAAAGAAAAUCUAUACACGCAAUGCCUUGUUCAACUACAAAUAAAGGCCUUGGGACUAUAAGGUUCUAUCUGACAUUUUAGUCAGAAAUGAGUCACAUAUAAUAGAUCUUUAGAUGGUUCUUCACAUGUUUGUAAAGUUAUAUAUAUUUUUAAAUAGAUUUUAAGUGAAAAUAAUUAACAGCUAAAAAGUUCUAUCUGCAUAAACCCAUUUGAACUUGGCGCUAGAAGGUUCUCCAUCUCCCUCUAAGUAUGGUCUUGGCUAGUCUGCCAGCAAUAAUGGCACACAAGCAAAAAGAACAACUGUCAGAAUUCUUAAAGUAAAUGAUGUCACAUCGUUGUUCAGUGAUGACAGUAAUUUGUCUAAUGAUCAAAAUGCAUUUCUUAAUGUAUUUGAUGAUGUGUUCUGACUAUUUUGGUAAAACAGCGUUAUUCUACCAUUUAUGUAUGACUCUUUUUUUUAACUGAACAUGUCUAAUUCAGAAGUGUCAGACAGAACCUUAUCUGCUAUUGCACCACACUAAAAAAAAGUGUCUCAGGAUUUUGAUACUCUGCACUUUAUGUACCUUUUAAGGUGAGGACUUUAAUGGGUUAUGAAAAAAAGUAUUCACUACAAACCCCAGCGCAACUGUAGAUAGUCACUAGGCACCACUCCAAAGGACAUCUGGCUCACACCAAGGCUCGAACCCAGGACCUCUGCCUUGCUAGCAACCGUCCUCCUGAAGCAUCUUACCAGUUGAUGCUAAGCCUAAGUUCCACACAUCUCCAUGCACUACACACUGCCUUCUAAUCUAUACACUACUCUUUCAAUGUACACUGUAAACAUAGUGUCACCAAGUAGGCCCCCCCUGAGACAUUACCUCCAGUGGUGAUGGGCUCAGAAUGUGUGAGCUCCUUCAUCCGUUUGGCACAGCUCUCAUGGAGUUGAAUCCUUUCCAGCCUUGUGCGCUCAGUGUCCUGGUCCCAAAGGUGUUUGAGCGCUAGGGCCUGUGGUACCUCAGCUGUCCAGGUGUCUGUGUUUCGGUCCAGAGUCAGGAAGUCAUUCCCGUCAACCAGGAGCCGGUCAGUCAAAUGCACUACUCGAAAUCCGUCCAGUUUGCUUUCAUGCACACGCAGGUACUGGUAAGUAUGGUUUUCUGGUCUUGUCAUGGUGUUGUUGACAUUUUCUUCUAUCUCAAACGCCUGUUGAAAAGACUCGCUGUAGUUGCCCAACAAUACAGCACGGAGAAUGCCGUUGACGUCUUUCUCGCAGCUGGAGAGAGCGGCUCCGUUGAUCAAUACCUGCUCGACCUCACCGACCACUCCCGACCGCUGGAACUGAAUGACCAUGUC
ensembl:lncRNA